rnacentral:rRNA from 1 species
UGCCUCAUACAUGCAAGUCGAACGCCCGUAAGGGAGUGGCGGAAGGGUGAGUAACGCGUGGGAAUCUGCCUUGGAUUGGGGGAUAACCUGGGGAAACUCGGGCUAAUACCGCAUAUUGCCGAAAGGUGAAAGAUUUAUCGAUCCAAGAGGAGCCUGCGUAUGAUUAGCUAGUUGGUAGGGUAAAGGCCUACCAAGGCAUCGAUCAUUAGCUGGUCUGAGAAGAUGAUCAGCCACAAUGGAACUGAGAUACGGUCCAUACUUCUACGGAAGGCAGCAGUAGGGAAUUUUGCGCAAUGGGCGAAAGCCUGACGCAGCAAUGCCGCGUGUAGGGUGACAUCUUGGUUUAAACACGUC